AUUGAACGCUGGCGGCAGGCCUAACACAUGCAAGUCGAACGAGUGGCGGACGGGUGAGGAAUGUCUGGGAAACGGCCUGAUGGAGGGGGAUAACUACUGGAAACGGUAGCUAAUACCGCAUACCAUCAGAUGUGCCAAGAUGGGAUUAGCUAGUAGGGGGGGGAACGGCUCACCUGGGCGACGAACCCUAGCUGGACUGAGAGGAUGACCGGUCACACUGGAACUGAGCAACGGUCCAGACUCCUACGGUAGGCAGCAGUGGGGAAUCUUGCACAAUGGGCGAAAGCCUGAUGCAGCGAUGCCGCGUGUAUGAAGAAGGCUUUCGGGUUGUAAAGUACUUUCGGCGGAGAAGCGUUACCCGCAGAAGAAGCACCGGCUAACUACGUGCCAGCCGCCGCGGUAAUAC
rnacentral:rRNA from 1 species